UGUUACGUCCUUUUUGUAGCCUUCAUUCUUACAUAAGAACAGCUUUUUAACAUUUACUUUUUAUAUAAAACUAAUUCGUAAGAAUGCAUUCGCAAUCAGGUGAACACUGUCACAGAUUUUAAUAACUUUUCCUUUUUUUAUGUCAGUGUUAGACCUGAAUAACUUUCACCGCAUGAACAGAUAUUUUACAUUCAUUUAAAUGACCACCUCCUACAGCCGCCACAAGGCACUUACGAAAAAUUCUAAAUAAAGUUUGUGAAAAGGUUAUAUUUUAAAGCAUUAAACGCUUUUCAGCGUUUUUUGAUGCAAGAAGGCCAAAGGUUACCCUAUGAAUAUCAUUUUUGGCACUUGUUUAGGAUCAGUGACCUUCAAACUGAAAGAAUUCCUGUCUAUGAAUAAGGUUUUGAAUCUACAGCGGUUAUGGGGCAAAUGAUUCGUAGUCUGCGACGUGAACCACUCGGUCACAGAGGGUCCCACAAAUGAAACUUUAAUUGUAUUGUAUCGAUGUGUAUAGGCAAAAAUGUGUAGAGGUCAUGGCAAAUGAAAUUAUUAGGAAAAAUGUUGAUAGUUUAAUUAAAAAUGAAACAAUUUAUCUUUACACAGACUUUUAAAACCAUCUUGUACAAACAACACAUAUGUAUAUGCUAGCAUAAUACCAAUCGCAAAUCAUUGCUAUUUCUCUCAGGACUAAAUGAUUUGAGUUUAUAUUCAUGAUUCAGUUUCUUCGUUAUCCCUUAUCAUGAUGGACACUAUUGAUUCUGCUUUUGUGACCAGUGUAGACCAUGAUAAGCUUGCACAUCCAUACAGUCUGAUCAUGACCUGCACUGUUCAGUCAGUAUCUCUUUGACUGUGAAAUGUACAUGAUGCCCCUGUGAACACUGCGCCGUAGUGUAGUCAUGUUCGGAUAUAAUCCGCCAAGAAAGGAUACAUUAUAGAAAUGGACUGAAUGUGAUGAUAUAGAUAUUUAGAAGUAAAAAUGUCUUUGGAAACUGUUCAGAGGUAUGUGCCAUUUCAUUUUUUAACUAUUUAAUUAGGGCUGGGAUGAAAUAUUUAUGUAAAUAUUGUAAGAUUCAAGAAUACAACAGGCUACAUGGGUUACAUUCGUUUCUCGGACAUGUGUUUUAGUACAGCAGACUGGUGUUUAAGUUUUCAUAGUGUCUGUGCACAUGGCUUAAAUAUUUUAAAAGAUAGAUGGACUAUUAUUUAUGCAUUGUGUUAUACGUUACGGUUUAAUCAACAACACUCCCCCCUGUCUUAUUUUCUACAGAAACUAAAAAAUAUAGAUAUUAAUUUCAACUGUUAUUACCCAUAAAACUGGUAACUAAAAUUAAAUAAUAUCAUAGUCUGCACUAAGAUAAUCUAAAUUUUAUUAAACAACACUCCCCCUGUUUAUUUUCAUGAAAAACUAAAUUUUAUAGACCAAUACUCCACCCUGUUUUAUUUUCAAGAGAACUAAAAAACUAAGAUAAUAAUUUCAACUUUAUUGCACAUACAACUGGGAACUAAAUUUUAAAAACUGCACAGUCUGCACUUAAAUGAAACUAAAUUUUAUAGACCAACACUCCCCCUGUCUUAUUGUCAAGAGAAACUAAAUAAUAUAGAUGAUAAUUUCAACUUUUAUUGCCCAUACAACUGGGAAUUUAAAUUAAAGAUGAGCACAUUCUUCACUAAAAAACUAAACAAUAUAAUUUCAACUUUUAUUGCCCAUACAACUGGGAAUUUAAAUUAAAGAUGAGCACAUUCUUCACUAAAAAACUAAACAAUAUAAAUAGAAUCUUUACCUUAUUAAAUAUUCCAUUAUCCUUUGUUUGUGUCUUCUCCUUAGUCAGUAAUGUCUGUUGUGCUGAUUGCAUUUUGAAUGUGUGACAUUAGAGUGCCGAGUGUUUCAGCUGAGUAAAACAUGUUUAAGGCAGCACUACAUUUUCACAAGGAAUGUAUAAUGUCAUAUAUUCUUGGGUCUUUUUUUCCAGCACAGGCUGAACCGAAAGAUAGUGUCUGUAGUGCUGGCUAAGGAUGCAUGACACCUUAUUUUGCUUUAUUUUUGUUUCCUCUUCAAUUAAUACUUUAAAAAUAUAUGAAACUCACUGCCUUAGGACUGCUACUUUAAAUAUUAAUUUCAAUACUUUAAAUAUAUGCAGAUCGCUGUUGGUAAACCCCCACCUUUAUAAUUUUAUAAAUUUUGAAUAUUAUAUUGAAUACUGAAUUGAUAGAACUGUUAAUUCUGAAUUAAUUACAUAUUGUAACAUUAUCGGAUUGUGGUGGUAUUUGAUGCUUUAGAAUGGUUGUGCUAAAUUAUUGUAUUAAACUAUUUCAGUAUCUAGUCGGAAUUAACCAAAAUGUUCUUAUACAGUUGGACACGGCUAGUUGUGUUUGCAUUUUCAUGUGGAAUAUUUGAAUGGCACUUUUCUGCGUGCCAGUUCAUUCAUUUCAUUAUUACAACUUGAUGUUGCACGACUCAUAGGUACAGUGGUGAAGAUUACAUACUUUAUGUGUCAAGCCGCCCUAUACAUAAACAUGAAAUGUGUAGGUUACGUUUAACUUCUGUACCGGUGCCGUUCCACAUAGGACAGUCGGUCAAUGUAAGUGACUACUUUUGAGGUCUGAAAACCACUUCUUUCACAUUGUAGUAUUUCUAAGAGAUAAUUUACUGUAUAUUACUACAGAAACAGCUACAGAAGGUCAGUGAGAACCACCUAUAAAGACUCAGUGUCCUGUUUAUUGUUUUAUGUUCAUUUUAAUAAAUUUUAUAUUCCUUUCGAUCAAAGAAAGGAUGGUGCUUACUAAUAGUUUAUACCGAGCCUAACUGGAUGGUUAUCAUUUCUUAAAUCAAGUGCGUGUUUUUAAGUUAUUAGUUUCUUUAAUGUUCAUCAAAAUGCUGUAUUAUAUAUGUUUGUAAAAUUAAUGAUUCACCACACAAUAUGUUUCAUUUUUACAAGGCAUAUGUAUUUGUGUUUUACACACUUUAUUAUAUGUACUAUGUUUUACCAGGAAGGUCUAAUACGUAUCAGUUGUUCUAGUUGUUCCAGGUUUUACCCUGUAUGUGUUGGUAAUUGUGCCAAGAUUGUGCCCACGCUUAGUUACCAUGCCAUAUACAGAUCAAAACGAAUCUACGUAUUUUCAGAAUUUGAGUGAAUAAAAUAGAAAAGAAUGUCAGCCACCAGCGAUUCACAUGGACUACGUUUUAAGGACAAGGUUGCCAUAGUAACUGGAGGAUGUUGCGGGAUCGGGCGUGGCUGCGUGGAUGUGAUGGCGGAACAGGGUGGAAAAAUAGCUGUCCUAGACCUAAAUGAUAAAGUUGGAAACACC